GUAGAGCGAGAGAACAUGAAUAGUAUUGGGUGGUAGAGAGAGAACAUGAAUAGUAUUGGGUGAGAGAGAGAGAACAUGAAUAGUAUUGGGUGGUAGAGAGAGAGAGAGAGAGAGAACAUGAAUAGUAUUGGGUGGUAGAGAGAGAGAGAACAUGAAUAGUAUUGGGUGGUAGAGAGAGAGAGAACAUGAAUAGUAUUGGGUGGUAGAGAGAGAGAGAACAUGAAUAGUAUUGGGUGGUAGAGAGAGAGAGAGAACAUGAAUAGUAUUGGGUGGUAGAGAGAGAGAGAGAACAUGAAUAGUAUUGGGUGGUAGAGAGAGAGAGAACAUGAAUAGUAUUGGGUGGUUGGGUGAGAGAGAGAGAAAACAUGAAUAGUAUUGGGUGGUAGAGAGAGAGAGAACAUGAAUAGUAUUGGGUGGUAGAGAGAGAGAGAACAUGAAUAGUAUUGGGUGGUAGAGAGAGAACAGAACAUGAAUAGUAUUGGGUGGUAGAGAGAGAGAGAGAACAUGAAUAGUAUUGGGUGGUAGAGAGAGAGAACAUGAAUAGUAUUGGGUGGUAGAGAGAGAGAGAGAGAACAUGAAUAGUAUUGGGUGGUAGAGAGAGAGAACAUGAAUAGUAUUGGGUGGUAGAGAGAGAGAGAACAUGAAUAGUAUUGGGUGGUAGAGAGAGAGAGAACAUGAAUAGUAUUGGGUGGUAGAGAGAGAGAA
ensembl:lncRNA